rnacentral:snoRNA from 1 species
GCCAGUGAUGAUUAGUCUGCAAAAUGGAUGUCCUGUGGACUCAAGUCCCUGUUUCAGGGAGAACCUACUUGAGGAAACAUGGUACAUAAUAUGACAUCAUUUGAUAAAACUGAGGC